GACGGAGGAUGCAAGUGUUAUCCGGAAUCACUGGGCGUAAAGCGUCUGUAGGUGGUUUAAAAAGUCCACUGUUAAAAAUUGAAGCUUAACUUCAAAGAUGCCGUGGAAACUUUUAAACUUGAGUAUGGUAGGGGUAGAGGGAAUUUCCAGUGGAGCGGUGAAAUGCGUAGAUAUUCGGAAGAACACCAGUGGCGAAGGCGGCCAACUGGUCCGGUACUGACGCUGAGGUGCGAAAGCGUGGGGAGCAAACAGG
rnacentral:rRNA from 1 species